rnacentral:rRNA from 1 species
GGUUUGAUUCUGGCUCAGAUUGAACGCUGGCGGGGGUGCUGCAUCACGGUGAGGAGACGGCAGCACGGACUUCGGUCUGGUGGCGAGUGGCAACGGGUGAGUAAUGUAUCAGACGUGCCUAGUAGCGGGGGAUAACUACGCUGAAAGCGUAGCUAAUACCGCAUACGCCCUUCGAGGGGAAAGCAGGGGACCUUCGGGCCUCGCACUAUUAAGGAAGCAUGACAAAUAUCGGAUUAGCUAGUUGGUGGGGUAACGGCUCACCAAGGCGACGAUCCGUAGCUGGUUUAGAGAGGACCGACCAGCCACACUGGGACUGAGACACGGCCCAGACUCCUACGGGAGAGCAGCAGUGGGAGGUACAGACGUGGAAACCUGAUCAGCCAUCCCGCGUGUGCGAUGAAGGCCUUCUCGGGUUUGUGCAAACACUUGCGGGGAAAAGCAGCUGCAGGAUAUACCCGUGCAGCGGCGGUACCUGCAGAAGAAUAAAACAAGCACCGGCUAACUACGUGCUAACUUAUUACGAUAAUACGUAAGGUCACAAACGUUAAAUCAGAUUACUGGGCGUAAAGCGUGCGCGAGCCGGUUCGGAAAGAAGAAUGUAAAAUCCCGAGCUUAACUUUGGGAACUGCAUUUUUAACUACCGAGCUAGAGGUGUGUCAGAGGGAGUGGAAUUCGCGUGUAGCAAGUGAAAUGCGGCGCGUAAUAUGCGGAGGAACACGAUGUGGCGGAAGACGGCCUCUGGGGAUAACACUGACGCUCAUGCACGAAAGCGUGGGGGGCGGCGGAUUAAAUUUACCUGGUAGUCCACGCCCUAAACGAUGUCAACUAGCUGUUGGGGCCUUCAGGGCCGCGCGCUGGUAACAGCUAACGCGUGAGGAAGUUACAUUGUUGCUGACCGCCUGGGGAAUGCAGUCGCAAGAUUAAAACUCAAAGGAAUUGACGAAGGGACCGCACAAGCGGUGGAUGAUGUGUAAUAUGGAUUAUUCGAUGCAACUGCGAAAAACCUUACUACCCCUUGGCGUAUGUCUGGAAUCCCGAAGAGAUUUGGGAGUGCUCGCAAAGAGAACCGGAACACAGGUGCUGCAUGGCUGUCGUCAGCUCGUGUCGUGAGAUGUUGGGUUAAAAGUCCCCGCAACAGGCGCAACCCUUGUCAUUAGUUACUACGAAAGAACCUCUAUUGAGACUGUCGAUGACAAACCAGCGGAGAAGGUGGGGAUGACGUCAAGUCCUCAUGGCCCUUAUGGGUAGGGCUUCACACGUCAUACAAUGGUCGGGACAGAGGGUCGCCAACCCGAGGAGGAGCCAAUCCCGGCUUGAUCGUAGUCGGAUCGCAGUCUGCAACUCGACUGCGUGAAGUCAGAAUCGCUAGUAAUCAUAGCGGAUCAGCAUGUCGCAGUGAAUACAAUUCCCGGAGUCUUGUACACACCGCCCAUCACACCAUGGGAGUGGGUUUUACCAGAAGUAGUUAGCCUAACCGUAAGAGGCGAUUACCACGGUAGGAUUCAUGACUGGGGUGAAGUCGUAGCUGGGUAA